rnacentral:rRNA from 1 species
AAUGAACGCUGGCGGCAUGCCUAACACAUGCAAGUCGAACGAAACCUCCGGGACUAGUCGCGCACGGGUGCGUAACGCGUGGGAACCUGCACUUAGGUUCGGAAUACCUCUCCGACAGGGGUGCUAACGCCGGAUAAUGUCUGCGAACCAAAGAUUUAUCGCCCUUGGUUGGGCACGCGUUGGAUUAGCUAGUUGGUAUGGUAAAAGCCUACCAAGGCGACGAUGCUUAGCUGGGUUAAGAGGGUGAUCAGCCACACUGGGACUGAGACCCGUCCGAGACGCCGGCGGGAGGCAGCGGUAGAGAAUCCUACGCAAUGGGCGAGAGCGUGAUAUAGCAAAAUCGGGUGAGUCAUGAAGGAGUUCUGCUGGUAAAGCGCUGUUGGUAGUAGAGUAGAAAAGCGCAUUUACCCGGGAUGGUAUUGACGGUACCGGAAGAAUAAGCUCCGGCUAACUACGUG